AACGGCUCUGCACGUUCUCGACGCCGCAAAGGGCAGAGUGAACGAGAUCAAUCUU
rnacentral:sRNA from 1 species